UACGUAGGGGGCUAGCGUUGUCCGGAAUUAUUGGGCGUAAAGAGCUCGUAGGCGGUUUGUCGCGUCUGCUGUGAAAACUGGAGGCUCAACCUCCAGCCUGCAGUGGGUACGGGCAAACUAGAGUGCGGUAGGGGAGAUUGGAAUUCCUGGUGUAGCGGUGAAAUGCGCAGAUAUCAGGAGGAACACCGGUGGCGAAGGCGGAUCUCUGGGCCGUAACUGACGCUGAGGAGCGAAAGCAUGGGGAGCGAACAGG
rnacentral:rRNA from 1 species